CCUACGGGAGGCAGCAGUGAGGAAUAUUGGUCAAUGGACGAGAGUCUGAACCAGCCAAGUAGCGUGAAGGAUGACUGCCCUAUGGGUUGUAAACUUCUUUUAUAUGGGAAUAAAAUGUUCCACGUGUGGGAUUUUGUAUGUACCAUAUGAAUAAGGAUCGGCUAACUCCGUGCCAGCAGCGGCGGUAAUACGGAGGAUCCGAGCGUUAUCCGGAUUUAUUGGGUUUAAAGGGAGCGUAGGUGGAUUGUUAAGUCAGUUGUGAAAGUUUGCGGCUCAACCGUAAAAUUGCAGUUGAAACUGGCAGUCUUGAGUACAGUAGAGGUGGGAGGAAUUCGUGGUGUAGCGGUGAAAUGCUUAGAUAUCACGAAGAACUCCGAUUGCGAAGGCAGUUCACUGGACUGCAACUGACACUGAGGCUCGAAAGUGUGGGUAUCAAACAGGAUUAGAUACCCUAGUAGUC
rnacentral:rRNA from 1 species